ensembl:lncRNA
UUGGCCAGGGUUUUGGUAACAUAACAGUUUAGGUCAGCAAAGCAUACAUAGAAGUUGUUCUGGAAGUGUGUCUUCAAUGGGAAAGACGUUUGGGAUGGGUUUUUUUGUUUGUUUGCUUGCUUCAUGUGUCAUUGGAUUGUUGUGGUUUGGUCUUAAUCAAUUGUUCUUCAUGUAAACCAGAUUCUCACUUCCAUUCAUCCAUGCUCAUAUGUGUAGGGAUAUAACCCCGGUGUCCUGGUGAAAUUUCCCCACUGGCCCUUCUCUAUCAUGGCCUCUAAUAAUCUCCAUCUCUGAAUUGGCUACAUCACUCUCUCCUCUCCACUAAUAGCUGGUGUGUGGUGGGCGUUCUGGUGCACUAUGGCUGCCGUCACAUCAUCCAGGUGGAUGCUACACACUAGUGGUGGUUGAGGAGAUCCCCCUCCCCCCAAAUACUAUAGGCAUCUGGACCUGUUCCCUCAUGUGUCAUAAACAUUAACAAUUCCUCGGUGUCCAACUGCAUCAUUGGAAACAACAACAGCUUGUGCUGUCUUCUCUCUCAGACUGAUGACAUUAACGAUGCAGUAGAAGAUACACAGAGGAGUCAGCAGAGAGAAACGCCAGACUCCUCAGCGGCUCCUAACGUUCAGGUGGAGCACUCCAACGUAGAGUACGUCAUCAUAGGGGACAACAACUACAUGAACAUUGAGAGCAGUCUGGACUCAGAAGAUCAGGAAGAAACGGAUAGUGUGCUGGAGGAUUUUGGGGGGAUAAAGAGGGUGAGAUAAUCAAGAUGGAGACCACAGACUGCAUAUAACAUACGUUAUGUUCCUUGAUGGCAUCAUAAAAAAAAAAAAAGAAAAGAAAAGUUGUCAUGAGCAAAGAAACUCAGGUGAUGUUUUACACAAGCACUCAGUUUAAAACCAGUCAUGGUUAAGAAGGUAUACACAUUGGUGUGAUCUAAUCCAUAGCAGUGUGCAUAGCAUUGUAAAUGCUGUCUCAUGUCAGUACCUCAGUAUUGAUUUGGGUUUUUGUUUUUUUUUGUUACAAAGCGACUGCUAUAUAUUUAUAAGCUAUGUCUUACUGCUUUUGUGCAUGUUUUAUGCUUCACCCAUGAUGAACUGUUUUAUAUUUAUAUAUGAUAUGUUAUUUAUUAAGGCUUGUGAACCUUGUUUGAGUUUUAGUCGAAAAAAUAUAUUAAAAAA